UACGUGGGGUGCAAGCGUUGUUCGGAAUUACUGGGCGUAAAGCGUGUGUAGGUGGCUCGUUAAGUCUGAUGUGAAAGCCCUGGGCUUAACUCAGGAAUUGCAUCGGAAACUAACAAGCUGGAGUCCGGGAGAGGGUAGUGGAAUUCCUGGUGUAGAGGUGAAAUUCGUAGAUAUCAGGAGGAACACCGGUGGCGAAGGCGGCUACCUGGACCGGUACUGACACUGAGACACGAAGGCGUGGGGAGCAAACAGG
rnacentral:rRNA from 1 species